UCCCUGGUGGUCCAGUGACUAAGACUCUGCCCUCUCAAUGCAGAGGGACCCAAGUUCAAUCCCUGGUUAAGGAA
rnacentral:tRNA from 1 species